UGAUGGAAAAGGAGAAGGAAGGGAGACAAUGAAAGACCUCCGAAGGGAGACCCUCACUCAAGCCUCGGGACAGCCGCGGACCCAAGAAGACACUGAGACCG
rnacentral:pre_miRNA from 7 species